UAAUCAAAAGAACAGUCAGAAGAAGAAUGUCAGUAACAAUAGCGAAUUCAAGCAUUACACCAGGCUAGACUCUGGACCAUCUCAUUCAACCCUCACAACAACCCUCUGAAAUGGGUGUUAUUAUUUCCCCAAUUUUCAGAUGAGGAGAUUGAAGUCCAGAGAGUUUAAAUGAAGUGCCUACAAUGAGUAAUCCAAGACUGGGAUUCAGACCUUGGUCUGCCCAGCUACAAAGCCAUGGGAACUCUUUCUAUGUCAGCACUGUUUUUAAAUGUUAGAGUCCUUUAUUUUUUUUAAUGUUUAUUUAUUUACUGAGAUAGAUAGAGAGGGAGGAAGGGAGGGAGGGAGGGAGAGGACAAGUGGUGGAGAGGGAGAGAAGGAGAGAGAGAGAGAGAGAGAGAGAGAGAGAGAGAAUCCUAAGCAGUCUCUGUGCUGACAGCACAGAGCUUGACGUGGGGCUCACUCUCAACCAUCACGAGAUCAUGACCUAACCCGAAAUCAAGAGUCAGAUGUUUAACUGACUAAGCCACCCAGGUGCCCCUGUUAGAGUCCUUUAAAGAAGACAAGAGUCCAAGGAGAAUGGAAGAGAAGGAAGGAACAUCAAUCAACAACAAAAGAAGGAAGUGUGAUGUGGGUCUUAAAAAUGAGGUAGGAUUGGGAUGUGAGGAGCAUCUCUCUACAACAUCUUGCCUGCUGGUGAUUUUGAGCUGAUCCAGGAGUGAAAAUCCCACAAAACGAGCAAAUACCCUAAUAUGCCAGGGCUGAGGUUGGAGGAAAGCUGGCUAAGGAGAUUUGGGCCUCAGCAAUUUACAAAAAGCCUGGAAUCUGCCAUGAUCCCGAAUAUUCAGUCACAGCUGGAACUACUGGCAUGCACCACUGCCAUUGGUAGGUGGUAUUACCUGUGAUCUGAUCUCUUGCAUCUUGGACUGUGGCUGGUGGCCCUCCAUCUCAUGUGGCCUCACUCUGUUCCUGCUGAUUUGAAAGGCCUGUGACUCCCAUUCAUCUGCCACAACAUCAAAACACUCUUGCUCAGAAAUAGAGCUCCCCAAACUCUCGGUUUCCUCUGUGUUGAAUCCACACCACUGGAUCACCAAAAGCAAACAAGAAACACUAAAGCAUCAGAUAAGCCUGUCUCUUCCACCACACGACACCACCAGGAUUACUUUGAGGAAGCUGUCCCAGAGGUGACGUGGGAAGUGGUUGCCUUCUGGAGUCCCAGGGACCGUGAGGAGCUCUUGCUCUACAGGCCUCUAUUAGGCAGCAGGGAAGGGGAGUUCCCUCCUUCCUGCCAGGUGGGGGACUCAUUUCUACACCUGGCCUUCCUGCACCUGCUUCAAAUUGUUCUUGGACCUGGCCCAUUGCCUGCAGAGAAAAAAGGUAUAGGACAACCACGCAUUGUGUAACACGUUACAUCUCAGAGGGAAGUUGCCUGGAACUCUCCUCAGCUGGUUUAUAAAGGAGAAGGGACAGGAAACUGACGUGUUGAGUACUUGGAAGUAACUGGUCUUAUCUUCAUUUGCCUUUCCAUAAGCAUUUAUAUUCACAGCAUCACUGCUGCAAUCUAUAGUUGAUUGAUUUUGAAGUUGUGUCUUUCUCUGAGACUUAUACCAGCUUGUGAACAGAUAGGAGCUAGCAAAAUUUCUGCUCAGGGUCUUACAUAAAUGUGCAUCACUGGUUACAGUUUAUGAUGGAAAGUGGCUUUCAUCUUUCAUGGCAUCCAGUAGGCCAACACUAAUGGACUGAGUAAUGAAUGCCGAGGUGGAGAGCUUUGUACUAAGUUCAGUACUUUGUAAGACUGCCCUCUGGACUUAGCAGGAACACGUAAUGUCUCUGAUUAGCUCAUGGGGCUAUAACAGUGGUGAAUGGACUCUUUGCCAUCCCCUCCUUUUCAGGUUCAAGUGGAAAGACUUUAGGUUCAACAUCGAAAAGAAAACUGUAAAACACAAAAUAUAACUUUAAUAACAGAAUGUGUGACACUAUGAAUCUUGGAGAAUGGCUUAAGAAACUCAACAAGCACUUUUCCUAGCCAUUCUCUGAUGAUAAUGUAUCUAAUAUCUUAGAAUAAAGAAGCAAAGCUGGUAUUUUGCCUUUUUAAAAUGGUCGCUUUUUGGAGGUGGGAGGGGCAGAGGGAAAGGGAGGAGAGAAUCUUAAGUAGGCUCCAUGCCUUGUGCAGAGCCCAACUCAGUACUCAAUCUCAUGACCAUGAGAUCAUGACCUGAGACAAAAUCAAGAGUUGAAUGAUUAAUCAACCGAGUCACCCAGGUGUCCCUAAAAUGGUAACUUUUACUUUUCAAAUUGUGAGCCUUCUUUCUUUCAAGGUCCAUGUUCAGGAUCCUUUUCCUACCGCCCAAAUGAUUCACAUGUCAGAGCAGCAACAGCAUAUCCAAGGGCUCAAACUAUCGGGCAUCUAUUUGACACAAUCCUUGUCCUUCAGAACUCACUAAGCUAAGUUUAAUGAGAAAAUCAACUUCCUAGACAUCCCUGUCCAAGUAGCUUAUAAUGAUAGUAGCUGAUUAUCAGAUGACAACCAAUUUCAAUACCUGUACAUUUGAGCAACUGCAUCCCAUGUAAGAUAAGAACAUCUCUGGAUCAGUCAAUCCUUUCCCUGGGAAACUUCAUGCUGGUUUUUAUAUAGUGUUAAACAGUUUCGUUGACCAAACAUUGUCAAUCUAUGGAUUAGUUUCAUUCCUUUAGCUGUAAGAAACAGAGAACAACUACAUAGUGAUGUCAGUGUGCCCUCAUCAGCCAGGUUAGAUCACAAUCCCAUCCCUGUGGUAGCUGGUUAUGAUGCCUGAUUGAUACCUCUACCAAUAUCCUAUAAACUGGGGCGGAGCUCCUCUAAAUGGAGCCAGCACGAUAAGGACAGGCUAGUAGCUGGUCAACAAUGAAUACCAGAGUCCACAAGAUACUGAUUCCCUUAAACUCAGGCACCCCCACAUCAUAUCUCUCAGUAUCUUCCAUAGUUCCUAGCACUAUCUUUGAAAUCAGCAGUCUUUCAGUAAAUGCUGAUCAGACAAAGAGGACGUAGGGAUGUAAAGACUUUUCUCCAGGGGCACCUGGCUGGCUCUUGGUGGAGUGUAUGGCUCUUGAUCUCAGAGUUGUGAGUUCGAGCCCCAUGUGGGCGAUUAUUUAAAAAUAGAAUCUUUAAAUGAAAGAAAGAAAGAAAGAAAGAAAGAAAGAAAGAAAGAAAGAAAGAAAGAAAAGACUCUUCUCCACACCUCUGCCUGAUCUCUCCUAGAAUCUGGUCUAAUGCCAAGCCAGAAACAGGGCCCCAACCCAAGCUAUUGUGGCUCUAAGGCUUCCAGUUUGCACAAUUUCGUGUGGUGGAGGGUCACCUUAGUAUAGAAUGGAGUCCACUAUGCUGGUCUGACGUGGCCUGGGUUCUUCACAAUUACCUCAGCUAAGGCCUCAUGCAGGCUGAAUGAGAAACCUGAAGCUGAUUUGAACAGGCUGCCUCUAGGUAAGGUCAGAUGGAAUUGUGCCCCGAGGCAAGGAAAAAGACAGAACAACCCCCUUUCUGGUGCCUUGCAAUAUCUUUCUAGUCAAUCAUCAUGCAUUUCUCAGCCUAGGCUCUACGGUACAGACUUCCUAGAAUCCUCAGACACACAACAAAUCUCAGUUCUUCUCCGCAAGGAAAAGGAUUUCUAUUUUCCCUCUUUGCCCUCCUCUUUGGGAACUCCAGUCAUCACGGCCCUUCUGUCAGUCACAAUCCCCUGAGAAGGCCUUGAAAACUAAGCUGGUUUGGAAAAGAACACACUUGAUUGUUAAGCCAGACUCCCCGCACAUCUUAGAACUUACUGACACCUGCUGGACGGUUUCCCUCUCUCUGAAAAGCAUCUGAGCAGGUUUUUGAUCUAUGAGUGAUGGUCCCAGGACAUUGGCUUCUGGACUGGGAUAGAAAUGGAGAACUUUCCAUGAUCUAAUGAGCGCUGUGUCUGCUUAGUGAAAACGUGCCUCCUUCCCACUGAAAACAGACUUGAGAAUCUCCAGCAAGCUUCAAAGACAAGACCCUUAUGGUAAAAAUGAACACAAGAAUAGCAGACAAAGCAGGUCAAGAUUAGAAGGGUGGAAUUGGUAAUUCUGGUCAAACUCUGGGUUCCUAUGUGUUUUCCUGCUGGAGAAACUGAAUAAAAUAGGGCUUCAGAAGCAUCCAUUUUAAAUAUUUUUUUAAUGUUGUAUUUAUUUUUGAGAGAGACAGAGAGAGAGAGAGACAGAGUAGGAGUGGGGGAGGGGCAGAGAGACAGGGAGACACAGAAUCCAAAGCAGGCUCCAGGCUCUGAGCUGUCAGCACAGAACCUGACAUGAGGCUCGAACUCACAAGCUGUAAGAUCAUGACCUGAGCCAAAUUCAGAUGUUUAACUGACUGAACCAUGCAGGCACCUAGAAGCAUCCAUUUUAGAGCAUAAUUUAAGGCAUUCCAGAGCCCAGGAGAUGCUGCUUGACUGGGUCUGUGUUGGCCCAUGGCAAAUCCUAAAGGAAGUGAAUGUGGCCCUUGGUACUCUCUGCUCUCUCAAUUCAAGAUAUUUAGCUUCUUUGGCUACCUUCUCCAACUGCUAACGUUUCUAGGGCAAUGCACUCCUCUUACUAGGGAGGAAUGACUCAAUUGACUAAUUUAUUGUAUCCAGUGAAACUGCAUCUUUAAAGAGAAACUAAGGGUGAGAUUUACAAUAAAAUCCAGGGAAUCCAUCUUAAUGGUAGCAUUUUAAACCUCAGAGUAGGCUAAUGUGGAAGCUACUGAGGGGCUUCUGGGGCCCCUCAAUGAGAACAUGUGGGGCAGUUAUCUGUAGGCAGCUCCUAAACAGAGCAAGAUAGUUAUUGCUGCCAUCUUGGCCAAGCACUCAUCCUGCAUGGAGACCAACUGCUGCAUUGCCCACUUUCCAACUUCUCCUUCUCUCAGGAAACCAGAGAAGCACUGGCUAGCUGGGUAGCUACCUGGAGACAGGCUGGAAGAGUCCUUCUGGAAUAACUUUCCUUCCCACUCUCUGUCUGGACCACCCCUCCCAUCUGGGGUAGUGGGUCACAGGAGCAGCCCUGAAACUCCUCUCAUCUUCCCACCCAAGGAGUUGAGCUAAAUGCAAGAAGAGGGAGAACAGACAAGUAUGUGCUUCUGAGGAAGUGGAGGGGCCAAGAGGAGGCCUGAAGCCAGUGCUGAGGAGAGAGGGCCUCCCUGGGAGUGGGCUGCAGCCCCCCUACAGGAACACAGCCUACCCCAUGCCAACCUCAGAAACCACAUGCCUUCACUGCAGGCAGGAAAUACCAACCUCAAAGUCUCCCCACCUUUGGGGCCCCCUCCCAUCUCCAAAAUGCUUCAGGCCAGAAUUUAGGGAUAGCUCUGAAAUUUGAGUUCUAAUAGCUGGGUGUUGCCUACACUUGCUGUUUUAAAUGACCUCUGGCCCCCUGGGGGUAAUUAUACAGUGGGCUUUGAGGGUUUAGGGGUGGGUAGGCUAAUACUGGCAAAUGCCAAAAGAAUGUACUAUUUCCCUUAAAAGCCUGUUAGGGCUAGAGACUCCACUGAUGAAAGAGGUCAGGAAAAUGCCAUGGUAUUACUUGCUUUCUACCCUAACAUUUGGCCUCUCUGAGGCACUGCACAAGGAAGCCAAUACUGCCUGUCAAGUAUAAAGACAUUGCUAUUUAGUAACUCAGGUACCAGUGGAGAAUGUACUCCAACAACCUACAGUUCAAGGAUUUCCAGUAUCUGGCCUUCACAGCUAUCUCCAAUCUCUGAGUCCUCCCCUCACAGACCCUCCUCUCUAUUGCUGGUAUCCACAUUGUUCUAGCAUAGUCUUUUGUUUACAGUGUUCCCUGUAGCCCCAGCUGCACCCCUAGAAUCUCCCCAACCGUUUAUCUCAGUCUCAGCACAUUUCAACACCCACCCCGUAUCCCACCUCCUAAUGAAGCCCUCUGCAUCUGCCAAUUCCAGGUCCUCCCACAGCUCUCAGUAUCUCCCCUGGUCUGUAGCAUGCACUUCUUACAUUGUUACUUAUAUUUUUAUUUAGGCAUCCUUUCUUCUGGAAGACAGUAGGUGCUGACAAGGGAGGCACUUUGUCAUACAUCUAUUUGUAUUCCCAGUUUAAACUCAGAGCCUUUCACUGCAAGUUACCCAGGAGGUAUCCUGGAUAUGGCGUCCCUUUCUCUCCAUGGACAUUUCCCAUGACUUCAUGACUUCAUCCUAGCCCAUUUCAAUACUGACUAGCCCCAAGUUUUAUUAAGUUCUUCUUUUCACAAAGCCAAAGUGAGCAAUAUCUGGAUCUGCCUCUUUUUUUUUUUAAGUUUAUUUAUUUAUUUUGAGAGAGACACAGAGCGAGUGGGGGAGGGGGAGCAGAGAGAAAGGGAGAGAGAAAACCCCAAGCAGGCUCCAUGAUGCCAGCACAGAGCCUGACGUGGGGUUCAAACCCACAAACCGUGAGCUCAUGACCUGAGCCGAAGCCAAGAGUCAGACCCUCAGAAACUGAGUCACCCAGGUGUCCCAGGUCCCACUGCUGCAUCUGGGCAGCCAGCAGCUCUCAAUUUUUAAGUUGAGAUUUGCUUCGCCAGACUAGAGACGCUCAGUUCUUUUGACUGUUCUUCAUUUAUUGUAGUUUCCAGACCUGUACCAUCCCCCUCUCCUGGGAGCUUUCUGGUUUCCAAUAUCCCUCAUGAAAAGUGCUGCCCAGAAUUAAGUGUAAUAUUCAGCUAUUGAAUAUGUGCAAUCUUAGCCCAAACAGAGGGAAGGAGGCACUUGAGGGAGGUCUUUUUAUGUUCAUUGUGAUGACGAACACAACUGGAUUCCAAUGAUCUUUGCUUAAAACAAGGAAGAAAUGCUUUUUAAAGCAAGCAAGCAAGCAAGGAUUUUUACCCAACCAAGGGAUUCCAGUUCUAAAAAAACCCAAAAGUGUCAGAAUUAGAACCACCUGGAUUGCAACAAACAUGGAAUCCAUUUUUUAAAUUUUAUCUCACAGCCUUUUGAUGGUAUAGUUGUGGUUUGUGUGUGUUCUACAAAGAAGUUCAUGUACCUGGUUAUCCAGGAAUAUGUUACGAACCAAAAAGGGAACCAGAGCAAGUUAGAAAAUGAAGCGCAUCCAAGCUGCAAGCCUCCCAAACCACCACUGGCUGACUCUCCAAGUACCCUAGCAGUCUUAGAGGUGCUUCAACACCCCAGCUCCCCAUCUCUACACUCGUCCCCCACUCCUAAGCCUGCUUCUCGCUCCUCAAAAUCUCUGAAGUUCCUUUAAAGGGCCAAAUCAAGAGAAUGGAGUCAUCAAAUUUAAGAGGAAGGCCACCAGGAUCACAUGAUUUCCUUUUCCCCAAGCCACUCAAUGUAGCAAGUAAUACCUCGUUUCAGGGUUUAGAAGCCUAGAUUAUUUUCUCUGGUCCUUAAGGGCCUUUUAUGUAUCUAUAUAGGUUUAAGUACGUGAAUUCUCCUCACUGACCUUCAGCAUACUUCUACUCCAAAAUCUGUAAAACUAAGUUUACAGCGAAUGAAGAAAGAAGCCUCAUUUCUUUUCAUCAUGGAAGCUUCUGAUCUCUUGUUUCUUUUUACCUCUGAGGUGUUCAUUUUCUGUACCAUCAAUGGCAACCUUUCCCUGCCCGUUUGCUUCUAUUUUCAUAGAGAAAAGCAAUAGCUCUGGAAGGAAAGUCCUCUAAUUCCGUCAGAGAGUUUGAGGGAUUUGCCUGAAGUUGUACAGCCGGUUAGUCCAAGAGUGCAUCUUAUCUAGCCCCGACUAGACUCUCAGCUGCCAGGAGGCCAGAAGAGACCAGACUGACACAUUCUUCUUUCCAGAUCCACACAGUGGCUGGUCUUUGGUCGAUGUAUCCAAGGCCACCUUAACACCAUGGGUUAGGCUGGGGUCCAUGACGGAGGCUUCUUAGGCAUGUGAUGGAAAGGAACUGUCCCUGAGCCAUUCAGUGUAGACUUUGCUUGCAGAGACCCUGGUGUGCAUCAGUGAAUCUUGCACCUGCUCAUAUUCAUCACCCCCUACCGCAUGCAUGGUGGUAUUCUGAAAGACAGCAGCUGGACUUAUGACAAAAGACAAAAAGGCAUAGCUCACAGGUUCAGUGUUUCGCUGUAUCACCUGGAGUCCUAAUAAAUUUUCUGCCCAGGCAGGAAGUCAUGGGGAACCCCUGUAUUCACCCAGCCUGAAUUCCAGGAGCCUGUUGCUACCAACCUACACAGAACAGAAACCUACGUGGUUUGGACACAUAAGCUUUGGGGAAUAUAAAUAAAAUAUUCAAGUGUCUAAUCAAAAUACUGAAUUUGUUAAUUAAAUUAUAUAUUGAUAUUAAAAGUCAGGUAUUACAUAAAAUAAUGCUUAAUUUAACAUUUUUUUUCCACUUUACAUUCAGUCUCCACAUACAUUUUCCGUCUUCAUGACAAUGGCCAAUUUUUUUUUUAUCCUUUGCUGAGUCAUCCAGAGCACAUGUCUUCACGCUUCAGUUGUUUGACAUAUAGUACUUUUAAAAAGCAGGCAUGAUGAUGUUGCUGAAAUAUUUCCUCCAAACCGUAAACUUUCAUAACAACAGGAAUUUCCAUUCAUCCUAUAGGUUAACAGCACAACCACUUACUUUUUUUUUUUGCUUUUGUGACUGUUUGGAAAAUCCUACAAAAAAAAAAAAAAUGAUGAGGGACUGCACCCAGGAAUAAUUGUGAAAUCUGUGUCAAAUUUCUAUCCCUCCUUUUAAAAUCUGAUUUGCAUUAGUUGAUCUCUACAAAAAUGCAAAACUAGGAGUGGCUGAAUCGUUUCAGGAUGUCUUUCCUAAAGAGCAUUUUGUAGUUAACAAAAAAAGGAAUUUGACCUGGAAUAUGAGUAAGUUCAUGAGAACCUGAAUAACAUUGAGAAUUCUAUCUGUAUCUUCCUUCUUUCUGUGAAAUAACUUUAAAGGACAAAAGCUUGCCGUAUAAGCAAGGAAAUCCCAGUUUAUAUCUAUUUUCCUGGAGUGAUUAUUAAUUGUGCCUCCUUUUAUUCUCAAAAGUAUCCCAGUUUGGACAGUAAGUUACAUAGUUACUCUGCUUUUAGCAAGGAGCAUACUAUAUAUUGUCAUUCUGGUGGCCUUGCCAAGGCAUUCAACAUAUUGGCCAUUCAGCAAAUUUCCUGUGAAACUAAUACCCACACGGCUGCCAGACAGAACUCAAAGGCACAGUAGCUGAAAAUUAAAGCAAUGCGGCUAAUUAUCUAAAGUGAUAUUACAAUGUCUAAGAUUCUGGUACUUUGACUGCCAGUCAACACAGCAUCUGCUUCCAAAGGAAACAAUUUUUUUUAAAUAAAUCUUUAAAAGAAAUCUAAUUAUAAGAAACUCUUUCAAUUAGUUAAGAAGAGCUGCUUUGAUCUGAGAACAGUGCCUUUAUUAUUAGUUUAAUGUUUCUAAAUAUUGGGAGGGAAGUUGUCUUUAUUAAUUUUAUGAUUUAACCAUCCAUACUUGCCAAGAUGUCUCAGCUAAGGCACGAUUCACUUCCGGUUGACCGUCCGGCAGGCGAGUGAGCUGUGUGUAAUGAAUGGUGUGGGUACAGGUGGAGCAGGUGCCCCCUGCACCCGAGCUCUGGGUCCCUGAGACCCCCAGCAGACGUGCAAGAGAACUUCCCUCGCUUUUUGUGGGUUGGGCUGCCUGCACAAUGCCGACGCUUGUGCAGAGACUGAAGAGGACGUAUCUGUGCAAAUCCACUCCCACUCGUCAGAAAAUCACGUUGAGCACCAGCUCGCCUCCUGGGAGAUCAGGAACUUCAUCUUCCAACGUAAAAUCUGCCAUGCAAGGAAAAACCCUGCCAAACAAAAACUCAAAAACUUGCCGGUGAACGCUAUCUUCUUCUGUGUUUCUCCAUUCCUGCCUCUAAGGGUUGAUUGCCUGAGUGUAAGGAAAUCAGCCCAGGUCUGAGACACAUGUACCCCAGAGUUAAGGCAUUUAUCACACUGGAUGUGGGAUAUGGUUUGCAUUUAGAAGGUCACUAAAUAAAACUGCUUAUCCUUAAAUCACCUAUGAUAUUUUACAUUACUCAUGGCCCAAGGUCUCAUGACAGUUGGCAAGAUAUGAGCUCUUUCUGUGUGUCCAGCUUUGGGCAGCCCAUCUCCCCAAAUCCACGGAUAACACAGUGAAAAAGGGGUCUUGUCGAGGGGAAUGUCUCUCAGGCAUCCCCUCUCCUCAGCUAUAUAAGCAUCUCGCUCAGCUGCUUAGCAGCACAGGGAAGGUUCUAACGGGACACUGUCCUGCAGACACACUGGCUCCAUAGAGAACAUCCAUCCUGUCUGCCAAAGCUCUAAUAUGAUUUUCCCUGCAGUGAGGGGGGUCUGAACAGAGAAUAACCAAAGGAUGGCUGUCCCUUAAAACAACCAGGACCUCAAAGCCUUUGCCCCAGCCCCACACUGUGAAGAAUAAAGAGAAAAGAAAUAUCUCCGACAUCUCUCCUGCAGUCUCUGAAUUUCUAAGACAAUGGCCCCUUCAGCCUUUCUUCUUGAAAAGAGUUUUCCCCUUCCAACCAUUUUCCUGUCCUGACCAAGAACACGAUGGGAGAAACUGGGAAGGUGGGAGGGAGGAAGGCCCAGCUAUUGAGGCCCAUUCUAUUUCCUCACCACCUUUUAUGUCCUGGUGGCCGUUCGUGCUUCCUUCAACGAUAUUCCCAUGCCUUCCAGGGUUUCUUCUUUGAGAGGAAGCUGAAUUAAGAGGGUAGAAUAUGAAGCCAACUUUGCCAAGUGCCCUUGAAAGGUGAGAAUUGAUUUUUAUGCCUCGGCCCCCUUCUCCUAAUGGCCUUUCUAGACACAUUGUUUCUACACUCAAAUGUGUCAGGGACAUCCUCAACGUGGGGCUGUGGCCAAGGGCUAAGACGUAGAUACAUAUGGCCCAAAGCCCACAAGGUGAUCGGCAACCUUGUCCCCUGCACUCUCCACUGGCCUGAAGCCUUGGCUGUCUUUUGUAGCCUAUUUCUGUGGAAUGUUGUCUUGGCCUCACUUUCAUGCCAACCACUAGCCUCUCUGUCUCCUGAAGUCCCAGGACCACAGUGACCUUGCCAAUGGCUUGGCCUUCCAAGUCUGAGGCUGUGCUGCUUGGCUUGAAGUUGUGCUGUGGUGAGCACUCACAGCCUCCUCUCUCUGCUCUCAGGCCACUGGCUUCCUCGCCUGCUGCUGCACCUCCCAGGAGGCCUAGCGGAGUUGCUGGGAAAAACUCAGGUCCACACCACCCAAGCCGCACCUCCGCCUUCACUUUUGGUUCAGAACUGCACCAGUGUUAUGUUGAUCCAGUGUUGUUUCUCUCUCUCUCUCUCUUUCAUUUUCUGAUCCUGACUACAGACCAAUAAAAAGGAAAUUUUACCAGAUGAUGCUUUUUUUUCUAUUUUUUAUUUUUUAAUGACCAGAUUGUACCUGCUAGUUCUCAAGAAAAACCCAACUUCUCAGAAAGCUUUUAAGAUACUUUCUUUGAGUGACAUUUUUCAUCUUGCAAAGACUACAGCCUUUACUCAAACAGAUUUUUAUCUUUUUUUUCUGGGGUUUGAGGUGGAAAUCUCACUAAGUUCUUCCAUCUAGAGUAUGUCAGUAUUUGAUUGAAAUGCUAGUUUGAAGGCUUGCCCGUUAAACCAUUUCUCCUUGCAUCCUUUUAAAAUUAAUGCGUACUUCUAAAACUAAUGAUGUAUUUAACAUUGGAAAUAAGCUAAACCUGAAAACUCACAGAGCGUUUCAAAUAGAUGCAGAAGAUCGCCACCUUGUGGCCACUGUGGAAUCUGCCACUUGGACUUGUGCUGGUUUGUCACCGGGUUUGCGGCCCUGCCGCUAAUUAAAAUAGAGGCCUUCUAAUGUGAUCUUUUCCCGUGCAGUUCACACCCUAAUCCUGAUUCUUUGCUGGUCCACUUGUGGAGAUUUCCUGCAAUUUGGAGAAAGGAGUCUAUUCAAAGUGGCCUCAGUGGUCUAGUUGAAGGAUGCCUUUUUGGUCCUUUAACUUGGUUUCAUAAGGAAAGGGAACAACUUCAGGGGAGCCCAGCUCUUUUUUUUCUUCAAACCCUAUAUGCUUGUAUCCCUGUAUUUUUUUUUUUUUCAAAAUGUGCCCUAAGGGGAUACAUGUACCACCAUCCUGAAGAUUAUAUUUAAAAAGCAGGUCUGGGCACACUUACGCUAAGACCUAAGAAUUGGAAUGUAUAGGGAUAGGUUCUGGGAUUUGCAUUUUUAACAAGUUUCUUAGGUGAUUUUUUUUUUUUAUGUUUGGUUUAUUUUUUGAGAGAGAGAGGACAUAAGCGGGGGAGGGGAGCAGAGAGAGAGGGGGACAGAGGAUCCAAAGCAGGCUCUGCACUGACAGGCUGACAGCAGCAGGUCUGAUGUGGGGCUCAAACUCAGAACCGUGAGAUGAUGACCUGAGCCCAAGUCAGAUGCUCAACUGGCUGAGCCACCCAGGAGGCCCUCUUAGUUGACUUUUAUACACAUUAGAUUGCUAACAGUGCUGCAUUUUAGUCUGUGCAAAAAAGAAAUUAGACAGGGAUCUAACGAAUUAAACAGUUUGACCCUGAGGAGUCUCCCUUAGGCCCUGGGAGGGAGGGAAUUUGGAACAGAGGAGAACUCAAGACACUAAUGCUGUUCCAAAGCUCCUGCCUACCUGAAUGUUUGCUGUUUGAACAAAGACUCCAUUAAAGACUGCAGUGACCUGUGACUUCAGCUGGACCCUCUAAACAAGAAGCCAUCAUCUACCAAAAGAGUGACCCCCUUAUUUAGGGCGCCUCCCUCAGCUUGUAUGGGAAGCAGCAAAAAGGAAAAAGGAGAGGCUACCACGCUCCCUGUGUCCAGCCCUCCAGAAGCUCCUCACCAGGUAGUCAUGGACGUGGAACCCAGGCUGGGGCAGGAGACAGGACACCAGCUUCCGGG